UCAGUGACUUUCGAGGAUGUGGCUGUGCUCUUUACUCGGGAUGAGUGGAAAAAGCUGGAUCCUUCCCAGAGAAGCUUGUACCGGGAGGUGAUGCUGGAGAACUAUAGUAACCUGGCCUCACUGGGAGGACUCCCAUUUAUCAAACCAAAGGUGAUCUCCCUGUUGCAGGAGGGAGAAGAUCCCUGGAAGGUAGAGAAAGAAAACCCUGGAGGCACCUCUCUUGCUGAAGCUGCAGGUAUGAAAGAGACAAGGAAGACAAUGAGAUGGGAGGCUGUCUAAGGGCCACACUGCAAGUGCUUUGGUACGGUUCUAAGAGAUUUGAACUGUUCCAUGGAUGACCAGAAAUAUUUGAAGA